CUUUACUACUUGGAUAACCGUGGGUAAUUCUAGAGCUAAUACAUGCUGAAAAUCCCGACUGCGGAAGGGAUGUAUUUAUUAGAUUAAAAAACCAAUGCCCUCUGGGCUCUCUGGUGAUUCAUGAUAACUGCGCGAAUCGCAUGUGGCCUUGCGCCGGCGAUGGUUCAUUCAAAUUUCUUCCCUAUCAACUUUCGAUGUUUGGGUAGUGACCAAACAUGGUUGCAACGGGUAACGGAGGGUUAGGGCUCGGCCCCGGAGAAGGAGCCUGAGAAACGGCUACUACAUCCAAGGAAGGCAGCAGGCGCGCAAAUUACCCAAUCCCGACACGGGGAGGUAGUGACGAUAAAUACUGAUACAGGGCUCUUUUGGGUCUUGUAAUUGGCAUGAGUACAAUUUAAAUCCCUUAACGAGGAACAAUUGGAGGGCAAGUCUGGUGAACACGUUGCUGGUGCCAGAGAGAGCCGCCCCUCCGUAAACCGGUGCGGCUAGUCGAGUGCUCGCGUCAGUGGCGGGUGAGCACCGGCGAGACAACCUGGGUCGGGGAAGGCUAAGGGCCCCUCGGGGCCUAUGCUGAUCCCGAGCAGAGCCGUGCUGCGCAGCCGGCCUGUGUAGAGCGCGCCAAGGUGUCGGUCCGGGGGGGUCGCCUCCCCCGGGCUUGAGGUACGUGCCAAUCCCCUGCGAAAGCAGGGCCCUGCGGACGGAGCACCCGUCAUGCGAAGCCGCCGGGGGGGGCAGGCGGCCCCGCCGGGGCCCCUGCCGUGAGCCACAGUGGCCAGCAGCCGCGGUAAUUCCAGCUCCAAUAGCGUAUAUUAAAGUUGUUGUGGUUAAAAAGCUCGUAGUUGAACCUUGGGCCUGGCCGGCCGGUCCCGCCUCACCGCGUGCACUGGUCCGGCCGGGCCUUUCCCCCCGCGGAACCCCAUGCCCUUCACUGGGCGUGGCGGGGAAACGGGACUUUUACUUUGAAAAAAAUAGAGUGCUCCAGGCAGGCCUAUGCUCGAAUACAUUAGCAUGGAAUAAUGAAAUAGGACGUGCGGUUCUAUUUUGUUGGUUCUAGGACCGCCGUAAUGAUUAAUAGGGACAGUCGGGGGCAUCAGUAUUCAAUUGUCAGAGGUGAAAUUCUUGGAUUUAUUGAAGACUAGCUACUGCGAAAGCAUUUGCCAAGGAUGUUUUCAUUAAUCAGGAACGAAAGUUAGGGGAUCGAAGACGAUCAGAUACCGUCGUAGUCUUAACCAUAAACUAUGCCGACUAGGGAUCGGACGAUGUUAUCUUUUGACUCGUUCGGCACCUUACGAGAAAUCAAAGU
rnacentral:rRNA from 1 species